rnacentral:rRNA from 1 species
UGGUAUUCUUGAUUCAAAUUUUAAAAACUUGAGUAGUAAACAGUUAUAGGCUCGAAACUUAAAGGAUUUGGCGGUGUUUUAGUCCUGUUAGAGGAACCUGUCCCAUAAUCGAUAAACCACGAAGAAUCUUACUUUACCUAGUAUCUAACAGUUUGUAUACCGCCAUUAUCAGGCAGGCCCGAUAGGAUCGUGCUUCAAUAGGAAUUUAAACCUAGUAAAUUAGGUCAAGGUGCAGCCUAUGGUAAAGGAGUGAGAUGGGUUACAAUUUAUUUGAGGAAAAUACAGAUAAAAAAAAGAAUUUUUUUUUUGAAGGUGGAUUUAAUAGUAAUUUUUGUUUAAUAAGCUAAAUUGACCUAGGCUCUAAAACGUGUA